AACGCAAAUUGCGCUCUUGGGUAGCCCUAGGAGCACGCCUCUCUCAGUAUCGGUUCAACAACCUCUCAGCAGCGUGUUUGGAUAGUUGGAAUAGUUUACUAUUCUUUGAUCUUUCGAACGCGUGUUGGCUGGAUAAUGAGAGUCUGUAUGCUUUGUCGUACAGUCUCUUUAAAUACAUGGAGUAAGCAUAACUAAACGAUUAAAUUCCUUUCACAGUUUAUCCGUUUGGAGGACUCGCAAGAGAUCUUUGAAUAGAAGAAUAGUGAGAGGAAUAGUAGAGUCUCUGACUUUCUGCUUUAUUCGAUAGUGACGUGAAUAUUGGCCUUCAUUGGUCUAACUUUUAUGUUUAUCUAUUUUGAGCUAAGCAAUUAUAAGGUCUAAGAUUUAACGAAACAAUUGUUAUUUAUUAGUUGAUGUUUAUGUAAAGAUAACCAUAUGGCCUUUCUGUUUUUAACUAAACGGAGAAUCCUGAAUUUUGAUCUGAGAUGAAGCGAGACAACCCCCUGAAUUUAA
rnacentral:misc_RNA from 1 species